UACAGGGGGUGCAAACGUUGCUCGGAAUCAUUGGGCGUAAAGCGCACGUAGGCGGUUCGUUAUGUCGGAUGUGAAAGCCCUUGGCUUAACCGAGGAAGUGCAUCCGAAACUGGCGAGCUAGAGUACGAAAGAGGAUCGCGGAAUUCCCGGUGUGGAGGUGAAAUUCGUAGAUAUCGGGAGGAACACCGGUGGCGAAGGCGGCGAUCUGGGUCGAUACUGACGCUGAGGUGCGAAAGCGUGGGGAGCAAACAGG
rnacentral:rRNA from 1 species